rnacentral:lncRNA from 1 species
AUUCUCGUUUGUCUAAUAAUAUUUCUAUUAGUUUGUAGUCUUGUUCGUUGCGCACUCUGAUAUUCAACUAGUCGUUGGUCCAUCGUGGAUGAUUUGGGAGGAUGAUAGAUUUAUUUUUACUUUUGUUAGUUUUAGUUUUUCUUUAUUCUCUUUUAGUUUAUUUAAUUAAAGUUAUAACAAAUUUACAAAUGUGGAUUUAAAAGUCUUUUGCUAAAAGGAUAAUUAUGUGAUUAAUAUUUUGAUUAAA